UCCCAAACCCCUGUUGUGUUAAAAGCAAACCAACACCCAGAGUACUGGGUCCUUUGUCCCGAGCAUUCCUCACGGUCUAGGUUUUCUUGAGUGUGUCUCUGUAGCUUCUUUUAACAUGGCCCUCUGUCCUCUCUUCUCUGCUGGCUCAGACAGUAAAGAAGCUGCUUCCAAUGCAGGAGACCCGGGUUCAAUCCCUGAGUUGGGAAGGUCCCCUGGAGAAGGGAAUGGCUACUGACUUCAGUAUUCUUGCCUGGAGAAUCCCCUGGACAGACGAGCCUGGUGCGCUACAGUCCAUGGGGUUACAAAGAGUCAGAUGUGACUGAGCGACUUACACUUUGACUUUUCUGUCCUCUCCAUUUUUUAUAUGUCAGUAGUUAUAGCUAGAAAUUCAAUUAAGAGUGCAUCUAGGUUUAUUGUCACAGGACUGCUCUAUUGGUGAUGACAGGUAUUUCCAGUGGGAGCUGUAUUAUCUCUGGUUGCCUCUCUUUUCUGAUGUCAGCAGCUCUGGAUGAUUACUGCAUAGAUUCACUACUUCCUUAGGAGUUGCAAAUAAUAUUCUAGUGCUAUUGUUCCUUCGUUUAUUAGUGGCAUACCUUCUAAGGAGAAACUUCCUUUCUUUGGUUAUUUGGCUACCCUGAGGCUUGGUUUGUACAGGAAAGAUUGGAUAGAAUUUUCUUAAUGUUUUUUUCCCCUUUUCUUUUUCUUCCUUUUUUAUUUGGCUGCACCUCAAGGCAUGCAGAACUUCCCCAACCAGGAAAUCAAACCCGCGUCCCCUGCAGUGGAAGCAGUCUUAAACACUGCACUGCCAGGGAAGCCCAAGACGAUGAAUUUUUGACUUUUCCCCCCUUGUCAGUUUCCAAAGUGGUUCCCUGGCGUCUUUCUAAGCUUUCCAGUGAGUGUUGUUUUCUUAUUGGCUACAUUAUGAACUCAUGGCUUAGACAUAUUUGAUAUAUGCUUCAAUCUAUAGAUGUUAUUAUCUUUACUGUCACUCAAAUUGUCCCAUUUGGCUUUUGGGAACUACUUCAAGUUGACAUUGUUUUUGACAUGACUCUACUGGUCUAAUCCACUCCAGUAUUCUUGCCUGGAGAAUCGCAUGGAGAGAGGAGCCUAGCGGGCCACAGUCCAUGGGAUCAGAGAGUCAGACAGGACUGAAGGACUAACACACACACUGGUCUUUGGUAAUUUUGUAGUUAUCUUGCAUAACAAGAUGUUUCAAGCUUGUCUCAUUUAUUUUACUCUCCAGCCUGAAGUCAUUCAUUUCCCCUCCCGCCCCGCCAAGGGAUCCAUCCAUGUUCUUUCAGUGGGGCAUGGUCAUUAGAUCAAAAUCUGAGUGUAAGGAGAGCUCAUUGGUAGUGGUUUAGUCAUUGUUUCCCGGUUUUAGUGAAUAGAGCUGGGAAAUAGGUACUAUCCAUUUUUUUAAAGAAGAAACUCUACAUUAGUUUAUACUGAUACUUCCAAUUCAACUCAAGACUGCAGGGUUUUUAAUGUAGCUUCGUUGAUCUUACAUCUGCUCUUCUUUCUGUCAUUCUGAAGACCUCCUUCUCAGAAAUGACCAAAAUAAUAUGUUGUUGUUCAGUCACUCAGUCCUGUCUGACUCUUUGCGACCCAUGGACUGCAGCCCGCCAGGCUUCCCAGUCCCUCACCAUCUCCCAGAGUUUGCCCAAGUUUAUGUCCAUUGAUUUGGUGGUGCCAUCCUCUGACACACUCUUCUCCUUCUACCCUCAGUCUUUCCCAGCAUCAGGGGCUUUUAAAACCCUCAGGAUAACAAUGCCAAAAUUAUCAUGAAAAAAUUACUGAAAAAGUUAAGAUUUUUCUUUUGCAGUUUUUUUUUUUUGUCCUUAGGGUUUAUGAUAUUGAGGAUGUACAAUCAAAUAACUUGGAAUAAAUAACCUCUCUCUGUGGUUAUGGCCCAAGCUUGAAUCAGGGUUAGGAUUAUUCACUUUGUUUUGCUUCCAUUUUUAGAUCUUUUUCAUUUUAAUUUUUAAAAAUUUGUGUAAACUAUUUACAUGGUUAUAAAGUCAAAUCCACAAAAUGAGCUGUAGUCAAAGAAGUCUAUAUCCUAACAUCGUCCCAUUCACCCUAUUUCUUCCUUCUAUCACAGAUAAUCAAGUUUUUUCCAUUUUACCCUUCCAUUUAAAAACAUAUAAACACAUGAUAAAUGAUAGUAUACUAAUUUAUUUAACUUUCCCUGAUCUUGGUUUUUUCCCCCUUAAUGAUAUAUUGAAUAUGAAUCCAUAGAACCAGAUAGAAUGUUCUUCUAUAAAAUGCUGCUUUAUGAAGACAUAUGAUUAUUUAUUCAGCCAGUCACCCUUGAUUGACAUUUGGCUUGUAUCUAGUCCGUUGCAGUUAAAAUCCUUCAGCAAUACCUGCUUGUCUUUGUGCAUUUUCGCCUUGGUAUGUCUAGGGCCGGUUUCCCUGGUGGUGCAGUGGUAAAGAAUCCACCUGCCAACGCAGGAGACACGGAUUCGAUCCCUGGGUCAGGAAGAUCCUCUGGAGAAGGAAAUGGCAACCCACUCCAGUAUUCGUGCCUGGAAAAUCCCAUGAACAGAGGAGCCUGGCGGGCCACAGUGCCUGGGGUCUCAGAGUCGGACACAGAUGAGCACACAACAGGCACAGGCUCCUAUUCGCCCACCUCUGUGCACUUCUGCCCCCUUGCGGCUGGGUCUCAGUAUUACAGCGUUCUUCCCCCUCCGAGAUGGCAUCUCCACUCAGGUGGAGGCCCCCCGACAGCGAAUGUGAACUGCUGGCACAUAAAGUGUGUGGCAUGAGCAAAACAUGGCCCCAAGCCACAGAGAGUUUAUUUUAAAUUUUAUUUAUCUAUUUUUGGUCGCAUUGGGUCUCCGUUGCUAUAUGCCAGUUUCCUCUAGUUGCGGCCAGUGGUGGCUUCACUUGCUGCAGAUCACAGGCUCUAGGCAUGCGAGCUCAGCAGUUGCUCUGCUGCAUGUGGGAUCUUCCCAGACCCGAAACCAAACCCGUGUCCCGUGCAUUGGCAGGCGGAUUCCUAUCCACUGUACCACCAGGGAAGUCCCACAGAGAUUUUAGAGUUGUUACUCCAGCAUAACCAUCCUGCCAAUGCAAAGUGAGAAAAAAAUAAGGAGGAAUCCCUCCAUCACUGACAAUGAGAUCACGCUAUGGGUUGAAGGGUGGCAUGCACUCCACUCCUUAUACCUGCUUUACACCAAACAGAAAAACCACACGCACAAGUGAUAUCUUACAUUGCAAAACUGGGCUAGAAUGGUAGGUCUCAAAGUUUGGGGUAGGUUUCCCAGCAACAUGGAGGAAACUGCAAGGAAGACUCUGCACACUUCAACAGACAGUAGCCCCCUGCUUGCUGCAAUUAGAGAAAGCCUGCAUGCAGCAGUGAAGACCCACCACAGUCACAAAUAAAAUAAAUUUUAAAAUCUUAAAAAAAAAAAGAAAGCCCUCAGGUGUCUGGAGUCCACGGUACCAAGAUGAAAUUCCUUUUUUUAAAAAAAGGUGAUAAAAACAAUCACCUUCUUCAUGUAAUUCCUGCUAAACUGAGAGUCAGAGAAGACCAUUUUGCAGUGAAUGCAGAGUCAUGCUGAGGACAUUCAGGAGGCUAAUUUCAAAACACUGUUGCCUUUUUUCUUUUUACAAAAGAGAAUUUGGUUGAUUUUAUAACUAGCAGUGACAUAAUUCUACUUAUUUCAGCAGUCAGAGCUGAAACAAGCAGCCCAAUCAGCAUAUUUCAUAAAUUCAUUGACUCUAGGGAUAUGGAAGGAAUUUGGACUCUUAAUCUCAACCCUGGAUUAUUAGGCUAGAAGACUGGACACGAAAUCAAAACCAUUCUCCCCUCAGGGUCUGCAGGACCAAAUACUUCCUCUCCGAACCCUCACCACCCCCUUCCCCACAGUCCCUACCCGCCCCCCCACCCCCACCAUCUCUCCAGCAAGAUUCCUACAGAAGGACCUCUCUGGUGGCUCAGUGGUAAAGAAUCUGCCUGCCAAUGCAGGGGACAUGGGUUCAAUCCUUGAUCGGGGGAGAUCCGCCGUCACAGAGCAACUAAGCCUGCGGGCCACAAUUACUGAGCCUGGGCUCUAGAGACCAGGAGCUGCAACUGCUGAAGCCCACAUGCCCUAGAGCUCAUGCUCAACAACAAGAGAAGUUGUGCUUGUGCACCACAGCUAGUGAAAAGCCUGUGCAGCUACGAAGACCCAGCACAACUGCAAGUAAAUAAAUAAAGUUAUUAAAAAAAAAAGAUUCCUGCAGCAGAAGGCGAAGAAGCCCUUCCCCUUACAGUACAGUCUCAGAAACCCCUUCCUCUGUGGUCUACAGUGAACGAAAGUGCUGUCACUCAUGUCAGGGGACUUCAUGGAGCAAGUGAAGGACAGAUCAAGUUGGGUUCUGCCCUAAAAACUGGACUGCAAGGCCUGCAUUUCCUUUUCCUCUGAUACACACAGAAGGGGAACACAAUUUAUAAUCUUGAUCAAAAGUGAGAGGGACUUCCCUAGUGGCCCAGUGGUUAAGACUCAGCAACUCCAUGCUUCCAGUGUGGGGGAGACAGGUUAGAGCCCUAGUCAGAGAACUAAGAUCCCCCAUAAAGUGGGGCAUGGCCAAUAUAUAUAUGUGUGUGUGAAUCAAAAGACAAAUGGAUGGGAAUUCUGCAGAGGGUUCCUGGAAAGUCAGGGCCUUCCUUGAAUCUGAGAAACAACCUCGCCAAGUCCACGGGCAUCACUGCACACAGCACCUACUGGCUGCAGACAGGUCACUUCCUAGGACUGGUCCACCUCUCAUUCGCCACAGUUUCUCCUUGGUAAGAGAGAAAAACUGCCUGGCUGUCAGCCAGCCUUGUGGGGAAACCGAGAAUGGAAACAGAAGCCACAGCCUCUGUGGCUUUUCAAAACAGGCUGCUCCGGGACUUACACUACCCAGAAACUGCACCCAUUCAGAUGUGAGCAUCACAAACUGCCUAAGUAUAAACUUCCAGCACCUGCUCAUUCCCAGGGACCAGAUCACCAGCUUGUCCAGCAACUCUGUACUUGACAAACUCUGCCCCACCCCAGGACUGACUCAAGAACUCUGUUGGGCUUCCCUGAUGGUCCAGUGGUUAAGGAUCCACCUGCAAAUGUGGGGGACACAGAUUCGAUCCCUGGUCUGGGAAGAUCCCACAUGCCUUGGGGCAGCUAAGUCAAUAUGUGCCAAUUUCAGAAUAUCAGGGAGGGCACCCCGACACCAGAGAAAAUUUGGGUGAGGCCUCAGAGGAGAGGGUCCUUCGUGCAGCUCAAUCUUGUUGCAGCCACGGUACCUUGUGCAGAUUUAGCUGGAGGGCACAUCCCCAAGAACUCAGCACAGCAGAGCUGCUGGUAGUCUUGCAGGAGGCUGGGCAGCUUUCUGUUUCCUGAGGGGCAGCUCACAUCACCUCCACAGCUUGGGGAGAACAUAGAACCCUUCACGGCCACACAAGGACAGCCAUUCAGCCCCUGAGACAAUCAGGAAUUCACUGGGACCAGGUUUUCCUUCUUUUCACGCCGAAGUGACCAUUUCAUAUGUCUUUGGCUGAAAAAGGAGCGUUUCUGUUGGAUCUGGAUUCACCAAACUCAGCUCCGCGACAUGAGGAAGUUGAAAUUGGCUUAUAGUCCUCGGGUGCACAGAAAGGCUGGUGUGUCAGCAGAUAUGGGCUGAAUCACGAAUUUAUUCAGGAAGUCCAAGAUUAAGUCCAGUUUAUGUUAUUAUGUAACAAGCUUACCUGCCAAGCAACACAUCCAGGCAAAUAAAUUUAAAAUAUUUUUGUGCAGGAUACAGCUGGGAUUCAAAACUUGUAUUUACUUAAGACUUGUGUGAAUGGUAAAUAAGGCCACUUCUGUGGAACCCCUGAAAAAGGCAGUUUAAAUAUCUGGAGCAGGAGUGAAGGCCUCACCCACUCAGAAAUGAGGAACAUCAGGCUGGAAAGAUGAGCUCCUGUACCGCCAGGCAGGAAAGGGGGACUCUGAAAUAAAGACUGGAAGAUGGGACACCUGCAGUCUUCAUACCCGGCAAAGAUAAGCAUUUCUAAAGUGCAGACAUGGGGGAAAAAAGAUGUCAAACAAUACUUAAAAGUGAAGUGUUGUCAUCAGUUCUGAAAGGACAGACAAAGGAUCUCUGAAAUCUACUGCUUCAUAAAAAGUAUGAGAGGACAAUGACCAAAACAGUGAAAAUUAAAUUUUUUUUUCAGAAUUCUGGAAAUUAAAGGCUUACAACAAUUCAAAGAGAAUUUUACUCAAGAAAAUAGCUGAAAGGACUUCCCCAGAAGUCUGGUAGUUGAGACUCCGUGCUUCCAAUGCAGGAGAUAUAGGUUCGAUCACUGGUUGGGGAACUAAGAUCCCACAUGUCAUACGGCACAGCCAAAAAAAGAAAAAAUAGCUGAAUCUGGGUAAAAUGUCUUGUGGCAAUGACUUGCCCUAAUCUCACUCUUCUCCCCCCAGCAGCCUUGAAGAUCGAGAGCUCCCAAAAUGACAGCUGAAAUCCAGUGUGCAGUCCCAAGACCAGGCAUAGAUGGUGCAUGCAUGCUGCUGUGUCCAGCUCUCUGUGACCCCAUGGACUGUAGCCUGCCAGACUCCUCUUCCAUGGGGUUCUCCAGGCAAGAAUACUGGAGUGGGCUGUCAUGCCCUCCUCCAGGGGAUCUUCCUGACCCAGGGAUUGAACCCAUGCCUCUUACGUCUCCUGUAUUAGCAGGCAGGUUCUUUACCACCAGGACCACCAGGGAAGGGCCUAGCCUUUUAAAGGAUUCAUCUGAUUAGUUACAGCCCACUUGGAAUCACCUUCCUUUCGAUGAACUCAGAACCAACUGAUCGGAGACCUUAAUUACACCAAAGGAGCUGGCGCAGUGAAGAGUCUAGGUGAGGACAGCGGUGUGUGAGGACUCGUGGCCUCUGGAUCAACAAAUAGUUUAUUUUUGGGUCACGUGGAUUAGCUUGCCUUUGACUGCAGGUAACAUAAAGCCUAAAUCAAAAUGGUCUAAAGAGAAUAUAUGAUUUCACGUGGCAUAACAUGAGAUCUGAAUGCUGGCUGUCUCCUCUCUUAAGGGUCAUGAAUUCCAUGGCUCAGUUGUUCUCAAGGACCCAGGUUCUUCCCAACUCUCUUCUCUGUCAUCUUCCACUGGCUAGUCGGCUCCCCUUGAGGUCUUAAGACAGCUGCAUCCAUUCUGGGUGUCUGUUUAGACAUGGCAACAUCCAGUUCCUUACCAUGUAUCUCAAGAAAUGUUCGCUUUUCCAGGAGUGCAGCAGAGGACCUGAAUUUGUAUUUCAAGCUUAAGCCCACUAAUGGCAAGAAUGACUUUUCCAUUAGUUGUUGAGACCAGUAGUAUUCAACCUUGGCUAUGCUGUUGAGUCAUCUGACAGCUACUUAAAAACCCUCAGGUUCACACAUCCCAGGCUUUCCCUCCAAAACUCCAAAAUCACAAUCUCUGCCUGGAGUGGGCCCCACGCAUCAGUAUUUUUUUAACCCCUGAAUGGUUAUAUUUAAUAAAACUACUCAGUGAACUGAGGUAACCGUGCUGGAUGUCAGGAAUCCUAUUAAGACCGGGGGGCAGGUAAUUCAACACUUUUGCACCUGAUUUACUGAAAUUCUACAAUUGGGUCAAGUUAACACACUAGAAGACUACAUAGUCGUUCAGUUACUAAGUCAUGUCCAACUCUUUGUGACCCUAUGGACUGCAGCACGCCAGGAUUCCCUGUCCUUUACUAUCUACCUGAGUUUGUUGAAACUCAUGUCCAUGGAGUCUGUGAUGCCAU